GUAGGUGGCAAGCGUUGUCCGGAAUUAUUGGGCGUAAAGCGCGCGCAGGCGGUUCUUUAAGUCUGAUGUGAAAGCCCACGGCUCAACCGUGGAGGGUCAUUGGAAACUGGAGAACUUGAGUACAGAAGAGGAAAGCGGAAUUCCACGUGUAGCGGUGAAAUGCGUAGAGAUGUGGAGGAACACCAGUGGCGAAGGCGGCUUUCUGGUCUGUAACUGGCGCUGAGGCGCGAAAGCGUGGGGAGCAAACAGGAUUAGAUACCCUGGUAGUCCACGCCGUAAACGAUGAGUGCUAAGUGUUAGGGGGGUUUUCCGCCCCCCUUAGUGCUGCAGCUAACGCAUUAAGCACUCCGCCUGGGAGUACGGCCGCAAGGCUG
rnacentral:rRNA from 1 species